rnacentral:rRNA from 1 species
UACAGAGGGUGCGAGCGUUGUCCGGAAUCACUGGGCGUAAAGGGCGCGUAGGUGGCGACCCAAGUCGAUGGUGAAAGCUCGCCGCUCAACGGCGAGUCGGCCACCGAUACUGGGUUGCUGGAGCACUGUAGAGGCAGAUGGAAUUCCGGGUGUAGCGGUGGAAUGCGUAGAGAUCCGGAAGAACACCGGUGGCGAAGGCGGUCUGCUGGGGCAGU